GACGAACGCUGGCGGCGUGCUUAACACAUGCAAGUCGAACGGAAAGGCCCUGCUUUUGUGGGGUGCUCGAGUUGCGAACGGGUGAGUAACACGUGAGUAACCUACCAUUGCCUGUGGGAUAACUUAAGGCAACUGGGGCUAAUACCGGAUAGGAGCUCCUGCUGCAUGGUGGGGGUUGGAUAGUUUCGGCGGUUGGGGAUGGAAUCGCGGCUUAUGGGCUUGUUGGUGGGGUAGUGGGUUACCAAGGCCUUGAACGGUAGCAGGGCUGAGCGGGUCACCGGCUACAUUGGGAUUGAGAUAAGGCACAGACUAGUACGCGACGCAGCGGUGGGGAAGAGUGUACAAGGGGCGGAGGGAUGGUGCGACAACGCCGUGUGGGGGAUGACGUGCAUCGGGUUGGAAUCCGCUUUCGCCUGUGACGAAGUGAGAGUGACGGUAAUGGGUGAAGAAGCACCGGCUAACUACGUG
rnacentral:rRNA from 1 species